rnacentral:rRNA from 1 species
CUAGCAUAUCAAUAGCGGAGGAAAAGAAAAUACAAUGAUUCCCCUAGUAACGGCGAGUGAAGAGGGAAAAGCUCAAGUUUGGAAGCUUCGUGGCAUAGCUACGACGCGUUGUAAACUGAAGUUUUUUGGGUGAUUGGGCGACCGGAUAAAUAAGUCCUUUGGAAAGGGGCAACAUAGAGGGUGACAUUCCCGUCUUUGGUCCGAGUCAGUGCAGUCGCUGCCCAGGAAACGACGAGUCAGGUUGUUUGGGAAUGCAGCCUAAAAUGGGAGGUAAAUCUCUCCUAAAGCUAAAUACUGGCGUAAGACCGAUAGCGAACAAGUACCGUGAGGGAAAGAUGAAAAGGACUUUGAAAAGAGGGUCAAAUAGUACGUGAAAUUGUUGAAAGGGAACCGUAUGAAAGUAGACUGGCUUGGUGAUGAUCAAUGUGUGUUUCGGCACGCAUGCACUCAUUGCCUUUGCCAGCCAGCGGCAGUUUUUGCUAAAGGAAGAAAAUCAGGGGAAUGUAGCUUCGAUUUCGGUUGAAGUGUUAUAGCUCCUGGUAAAAUACUUUGGCAGAGACUGAGGCUAGCAGCGGAUCUUUGGGAACUUUGCGCGCUUGUCGUCCAAUGGUCAAGUUUUCUUCGGAUGCUUGGUCAUUGGGUGGCAACUCGUGUGAUGCUUCACCCUUCCGCUUAGGUCGCUGGCGUAAUGCUUUUAUAUGACCCGUCUUGAAACACGGACCAAGGAGUCCACGUAUAGAGCGAGUCGUUGGGUGGCAAACCCAAAGGCGAAGUGAAAGCGAUUGGGAAGAAACUGUUACAGGUGGCACUCCCGGGGGGAUAUGACGUUUUAUACAGAUUGACCUCACCCAAAGCUCUAUGCAUGGGACCCGAAAGAUGGUGAACUAUACUUGAAUAGGGUGAAGCCAGAGGAAACUCUGGUGGAGGCUCGUAGCGAUUCUGACGUGCAAAUCGAUCGUCGAAUUUGAGUAUAGGGGCGAAAGACUAAUCGAACCAUCUAGUAGCUGGUUCCUGCC